rnacentral:siRNA from 1 species
ACGGACCAAUUAAGGACGGGGAUG